AGAGUUUGAUCCUGGCUCAGGAUGAACGCUAGCGACAGGCUUAACACAUGCAAGUCGAGGGGCAGCAUGAUUUGUAGCAAUACAGAUUGAUGGCGACCGGCGCACGGGUGAGUAACGCGUAUGCAACUUACCUAUCAGAGGGGGAUAGCCCGGCGAAAGUCGGAUUAAUACCCCAUAAAACAGGGGUCCCGCAUGGGAAUAUUUGUUAAAGAUUCAUCGCUGAUAGAUAGGCAUGCGUUCCAUUAGGCAGUUGGCGGGGUAACGGCCCACCAAACCGACGAUGGAUAGGGGUUCUGAGAGGAAGGUCCCCCACAUUGGUACUGAGACACGGACCAAACUCCUACGGGAGGCAGCAGUGAGGAAUAUUGGUCAAUGGCCGAGAGGCUGAACCAGCCAAGUCGCGUGAAGGAAGAAGGAUCUAUGGUUUGUAAACUUCUUUUAUAGGGGAAUAAAGUGGAGGACGUGUCCUUUUUUGUAUGUACCCUAUGAAUAAGCAUCGGCUAACUCCGUGCCAGCAGCCGCGGUAAUACGGAGGAUGCGAGCGUUAUCCGGAUUUAUUGGGUUUAAAGGGUGCGUAGGCGGCACGCCAAGUCAGCGGUGAAAUUUCCGGGCUCAACCCGGAGUGUGCCGUUGAAACUGGCGAGCUAGAGUGCACAAGAGGCAGGCGGAAUGCGUGGUGUAGCGGUGAAAUGCAUAGAUAUCACGCAGAACCCCGAUUGCGAAGGCAGCCUGCUAGGGUGCGACAGACGCUGAGGCACGAAAGCGUGGGUAUCGAACAGGAUUAGAUACCCUGGUAGUCCACGCAGUAAACGAUGAAUACUAACUGUUUGCGAUACAAUGUAAGCGGUACAGCGAAAGCGUUAAGUAUUCCACCUGGGGAGUACGCCGGCAACGGUGAAACUCAA
rnacentral:rRNA from 1 species